GGUUAAGUGACUAAGCGUACACGGUGGAUGCCUAGGCAGUCAGAGGCGAUGAAGGGCGUGCUAAUCUGCGAAAAGCGUCGGUAAGGUGAUAUGAACCGUUAUAACCGGCGAUACCCGAAUGGGGAAACCCAGUGUGUUUCGACACACUAUCAUGUCAUGAAUACAUAGUGGCAUGAGGCGAACCGGGGGAACUGAAACAUCUAAGUACCCCGAGGAAAAGAAAUCAACCGAGAUUCCCCCAGUAGCGGCGAGCGAACGGGGAGGAGCCCAGAACCUGAAUCGGCUUGUGUGUUAGUGGAAGCGUCUGGAAAGUCGCGCAGCAAAGGGUGAUAGCCCCGUACACUAAAAUGCACAGGUCGUGAGUUCGAUGAGUAGGGCGGGACACGUGACAUCCUGUCUGAAUAUGGGGGGACCAUCCUCCAAGGCUAAAUACUCCUGACUGACCGAUAGUGAACCAGUACCGUGAGGGAAAGGCGAAAAGAACCCCGGCGAGGGGAGUGAAAUAGAACCUGAAACCGUGUACGUACAAGCAGUGGGAGCACCUUCGUGGUGUGACUGCGUACCUUUUGUAUAAUGGGUCAGCGACUUAUAUUUUGUAGCAAGGUUAACCGUAUAGGGGAGCCGUAGGGAAACCGAGUCUUAACUGGGCGAAUAGUUGCAAGGUAUAGACCCGAAACCCGGUGAUCUAGCCAUGGGCAGGUUGAAGGUUGGGUAACACUAACUGGAGGACCGAACCGACUAAUGUUGAAAAAUUAGCGGAUGACUUGUGGCUGGGGGUGAAAGGCCAAUCAAACCGGGAGAUAGCUGGUUCUCCCCGAAAGCUAUUUAGGUAGCGCCUCGUGAACUCAUCUUCGGGGGUAGAGCACUGUUUCGGCUAGGGGGCCAUCCCGGCUUACCAAACCGAUGCAAACUCCGAAUACCGAAGAAUGUUAUCACGGGAGACACACGGCGGGUGCUAACGUCCGUCGUGAAGAGGGAAACAACCCAGACCGCCAGCUAAGGUCCCAAAGUCAUGGUUAAGUGGGAAACGAUGUGGGAAGGCACAGACAGCCAGGAUGUUGGCUUAGAAGCAGCCAUCAUUUAAAGAAAGCGUAAUAGCUCACUGGUCGAGUCGGCCUGCGCGGAAGAUGUAACGGGGCUAAACCAUGCACCGAAGCUGCGGCAGCGACGCUUAGGCGUUGUUGGGUAGGGGAGCGUUCUGUAAGCCGUUGAAGGUGGCCUGUGAGGGUUGCUGGAGGUAUCAGAAGUGCGAAUGCUGACAUAAGUAACGAUAAAGCGGGUGAAAAGCCCGCUCGCCGGAAGACCAAGGGUUCCUGUCCAACGUUAAUCGGGGCAGGGUGAGUCGACCCCUAAGGCGAGGCUGAAAAGCGUAGUCGAUGGGAAACAGGUUAAUAUUCCUGUACUUGGUGUUACUGCGAAGGGGGGACGGAGAAGGCUAGGCUAGCCGGGCGACGGUUGUCCCGGUUUAAGCGUGUAGGGGGUGUGACCUGGUAAAUCCGGUUACAUACUAACCCUGAGGCGUGAUGACGAUGCACUACGGUGCAGAAGUAGUUGAUGCCCUGCUUCCAGGAAAAGCCUCUAAGCAUCAGGUAACAUUGAAUCGUACCCCAAACCGACACAGGUGGUCAGGUAGAGAAUACCAAGGCGCUUGAGAGAACUCGGGUGAAGGAACUAGGCAAAAUGGUGCCGUAACUUCGGGAGAAGGCACGCUGGCAUGUAGGUGAAGUCCCUCGCGGAUGGAGCUGAAGCCAGUCGAAGAUACCAGCUGGCUGCAACUGUUUAAUAAAAACACAGCACUGUGCAAACACGAAAGUGGACGUAUACGGUGUGACGCCUGCCCGGUGCUGGAAGGUUAAUUGAUGGGGUCAGCCGCAAGGCGAAGCUCUUGAUCGAAGCCCCAGUAAACGGCGGCCGUAACUAUAACGGUCCUAAGGUAGCGAAAUUCCUUGUCGGGUAAGUUCCGACCUGCACGAAUGGCGUAAUGAUGGCCAGGCUGUCUCCACCCGAGACUCAGUGAAAUUGAACUCGCUGUGAAGAUGCAGUGUACCCGCGGCAAGACGGAAAGACCCCGUGAACCUUUACUAUAGCUUGACACUGAACAUUGAGCCUUGAUGUGUAGGAUAGGUGGGAGGCUUUGAAGCGUGGACGCCAGUCUGCGUGGAGCCAUCCUUGAAAUACCACCCUUUAAUGUUUGAUGUUCUAACUCGGCCCCGUGAUCCGGGGUGAGGACAGUGUCUGGUGGGUAGUUUGACUGGGGCGGUCUCCUCCCAAAGAGUAACGGAGGAGCACGAAGGUUAGCUAAUCACGGUCGGACAUCGUGAGGUUAGUGCAAAGGCAUAAGCUAGCUUGACUGCGAGAGUGACGGCUCGAGCAGGUACGAAAGUAGGUCUUAGUGAUCCGGUGGUUCUGAAUGGAAGGGCCAUCGCUCAACGGAUAAAAGGUACUCCGGGGAUAACAGGCUGAUACCGCCCAAGAGUUCAUAUCGACGGCGGUGUUUGGCACCUCGAUGUCGGCUCAUCACAUCCUGGGGCUGAAGUAGGUCCCAAGGGUAUGGCUGUUCGCCAUUUAAAGUGGUACGCGAGCUGGGUUUAGAACGUCGUGAGACAGUUCGGUCCCUAUCUGCCGUGGGCGUUGGAAGAUUGAGAGGGGUUGCUCCUAGUACGAGAGGACCGGAGUGAACGCACCACUGGUGUUCGGGUUGUCAUGCCAAUGGCAUUGCCCGGUAGCUAAGUGCGGAAAAGAUAAGCGCUGAAAGCAUCUAAGCGCGAAACUUGCCUCAAGAUGAGUCUUCCCUGGGACUUUAAGUCCCCUGAAGGAACGUUUAAGACUAAGACGUUGAUAGGCUGGGUGUGUAAGUGCAGCGAUGCAUUGAGCUAACCAGUACUAAUGAUCCGUGAGGCUUAACCUU
rnacentral:rRNA from 1 species